ensembl:miRNA
UCAGGCUCUCAGCCCGAGCCGUGUUCUUCAGACGGGCACGGGCUGCAGCGCCAACGC